rnacentral:rRNA from 1 species
AACGAACGCUGGCGGCAGGCCUAACACAUGCAAGUCGAGCGAGGACUUCGGUCCUAGCGGCGGACGGGUGAGUAACGCGUGGGAACGUGCCCUUUGCUUCGGAAUAGCCCUGGGAAACGGGGAGUAAUACCGGAUGAGCCCUUUGGGGGAAAGAUUUAUCGGCGAAGGAUCGGCCCGCGUUGGAUUAGGUAGUUGGUGGGGUAAUGGCCUACCAAGCCGACGAUCCAUAGCUGGUUUGAGAGGAUGAUCAGCCACACUGGGACUGAGACACGGCCCAGACUCCUACGGGAGGCAGCAGUGGGGAAUCUUAGACAAUGGGGGAAACCCUGAUCUAGCCAUGCCGCGUGAGCGAUGAAGGCCUUAGGGUUGUAAAGCUCUUUCAGCUGGGAAGAUAAUGACGGUACCAGCAGAAGAAGCCCCGGCUAACUCCGUG